GUUGUAUAGUCAAGUAAUUAAGUGCAUGUGGUGGAUGCCUUGGCAGUCAG
rnacentral:rRNA from 3 species